rnacentral:rRNA from 1 species
UGCAGUCGAGCGAUGAAGUUUUCUUCGGAAAACGGAUUAGCGGCGGACGGGUGAGUAACACGUGGGUAACCUGCCUCAUAGAGUGGAAUAGCCUUUCGAAAGGAAGAUUAAUACCGCAUAACAUUGAGAGAUGGCAUCAUCACUCAAUCAAAGGAGCAAUCCGCUAUGAGAUGGACCCGCGGCGCAUUAGCUAGUUGGUGAGGUAACGGCUCACCAAGGCGACGAUGCGUAGCCGACCUGAGAGGGUGAUCGGCCACAUUGGGACUGAGACACGGCCCAGACUCCUACGGGAGGCAGCAGUGGGGAAUAUUGCACAAUGGGGGAAACCCUGAUGCAGCAACGCCGCGUGAGUGAUGAAGGUUUUCGGAUCGUAAAGCUCUGUCUUUGGGGAAGAUAAUGACGGUACCCAAGGAGGAAGCCACGGCUAACUACGUGCCAGCAGCCGCGGUAAUACGUAGGUGGCGAGCGUUAUCCGGAUUUACUGGGCGUAAAGGGAGCGUAGGCGGACAAUUAAGUGGGAUGUGAAAUACCCGGGCUCAACCUGGGUGCUGCAUUCCAAACUGGUUGUCUAGAGUGCAGGAGAGGAGAGUGGAAUUCCUAGUUG